UCACUGCUCCUUCACUUCUCACUCAUUCAUUGGCAAUAUGACGGCACAAACUCUCCUCUGCUCUCUUAUACUUUUAUUUACAGGUUGUUUUGGUGAGAUUAUUCUCACUCAGAGUCCCACCGUUCAGAUGGUGUCAGUAGGAGAGAGCGUCACUCUCAACUGUAGAUCCAGCAGUUCAUCUUUUUCAUCCAGUUUAGCCUGGUAUCAUCAAAAACCUGGACAAACACCCAAACUCCUUUUCUCUAGUGUUGGUAGCCGAGUGUCUGGAGUGUCUGAGAGAUUUACUGAUGGAAGAUCAAGCACAAACUUCAUGCUGAAUAUCAGAAAUGUUCAGACUGAAGAUGGAGGAGAUUAUUACUGUCAACAGCAUUAUCAGUAUCCACUCACACAGUGAUACAGAGCCGUACAAAAACCUCCAUCAGUCAGACUGACACUGACACACCUGACUGAUUCUGCUGCUGCACACACACUAUUACACGCUAAACAUUAAAGCAGCACAGUAAUUCUAACAUUGUUUAUCAUGCUUUAUAUGAUAAAAAUAGUUUAAACAGUUUUUAUAGAGAAUUAUUGCCUCAGUGUCUUAAAGUCCCAGUCAGCAGCCAAAGGCAACUGACAAGAUAAAAAAACUUCAGAUGUUUAAGAAGUGAAAACCUUGGGAGGAUCUGGACACACUGAAGGAAAAGUAAAGAGGAAUGCAGAUUAUGUGUUCACAAAAUAAAUGAUUCAGUGUGUUAACUGUCAGUGGAAACUAAACUGCUUCAUUCCAGAGAACAAAGUGAGAAACAAUGAAACUGAAAAUUAGAUUUGCAUCAUCAGGAUUCUGUUCCUCUCACACAACAGCAGAUGUUCAAACACUCUCCCAACACAAACAU